UACAGAGGGGGGCAAGCGUUGUUCGGAAUUACUGGGCGUAAAGGGCGCGUAGGCGGCCUUCUUAGUCGAACGUGAAAUCCCCGGGCUCAACCCGGGAACUGCGUCCGAUACUGGAAGGCUCGAAUCCGGGAGAGGGAUGUGGAAUUCCAGGUGUAGCGGUGAAAUGCGUAGAUAUCUGGAGGAACACCGGUGGCGAAGGCGACAUCCUGGACCGGUAUUGACGCUGAGGCGCGAAAGCCAGGGGAGCAAAGCGGG
rnacentral:rRNA from 1 species